UACAGAGGUCUCAAGCGUUGUUCGGAUUCAUUGGGCGUAAAGGGCGCGUAGGCUGCGGGGCAAGUCGGGUGUGAAAUCUCAGAGCUCAACUCUGAAACUGCACUCGAUACUGCUUUGCUCGAGGACUGGAGAGGAGAUUGGAAUUCACGGUGUAGCAGUGAAAUGCGUAGAUAUCGUGAGGAACACCAGUGGCGAAGGCGGCGACCUGGGCCAAUAUUGACGCUGAGGUGCGAAAGCGUGGGGAGCAAACAGG
rnacentral:rRNA from 1 species